ACUAAGUGGUCUUCCUUCCAGGACCUCUUCCCUAGGACGGCGUCGCAGCCUCCGGAACUUAGUUACACGGAGCUGCGGCGCUGAAGAUGGUUGGAUACCUGCGCGGUCUUUGG
rnacentral:lncRNA from 1 species